UACGAAGGGGGCUAGCGUUGUUCGGAUUUACUGGGCGUAAAGCGCACGUAGGCGGAUCGUUAAGUCGGGGGUGAAAUCCUGGAGCUCAACUCCAGAACUGCCUUCGAUACUGGCGAUCUUGAGUCCGGAAGAGGUGAGUGGAACUCCUAGUGUAGAGGUGGAAUUCGUAGAUACUAGGAAGAACACCAGUGGCGAAGGCGGCUCACUGGUCCGGUACUGACGCUGAGGUGCGAAAGCGUGGGGAGCAAACAGG
rnacentral:rRNA from 1 species